AUACUUGGAGUUAGAGUCAGAUUUUUUUUAACAAUGUUAACUCUAUCAAUUUGUUUAAGUUACACGACUUCCAAGGAAAAAAAGAGAGGAUAAUGAAGCACAAUAUUAUUUCUAAUUGAGAAGAGUCAUUUCCUUUCCUCCAUCCUCAGCCCGUCGACCUUCUUUCCCAAAAAGAAGAACCACCACUUUCUUCUUUCAAAUUAACCUCGUAGAGAAUUUCAGGUGAUAGCUGCAAAAUCUUGAAAGAAAAGGGUUCCAGCUAGGAACGAGCGUGACACUAGGGUACAAGUGAGUAAAGGAGAUACAUCAGGUUAAGUUUGGAUGAAGAUGGAAGUGUGCUGAGCUGGAGCUUUUUGUUUAUGUAAAUAGUAAUAGGCUCAGGAUGUUGUGUCUUCAUACAUAAUGUCCCAUGAUGUACUCCGCUGCAACACUUUAUUUCUCUUAUCACUUUUGACGUGUUGUAGAAUGUUUUAAAAACCUUAACCUGUAUAUGAGCGUGAUAAGUCUUGGUUAUGAUAUUUAUUUGGUCUAAA